rnacentral:rRNA from 1 species
CCCUUAGAUGUUCUGGGCCGCACGCGCGCUACACUGAUGCGUUCAACAAGUUUCCUUGGCCGAGAGGCCUGGGCAAUCUUCUUAAUAUGUAUCGUGAUAGGGAUAGAUUAUUGCAAUUAUUAAUCUUGAACGAGGAAUUCCUAGUAAACGCAGAUCAUCAAUCUGCAUUGAUUACGUCCCUGCCCUUUGUACACACCGCCCGUCGCACCUACCGAUUGGAUGUUCCGGUGAGGCCUCGGGAUGAGGACUGGUGCCUUUAUUGGCAUGAGUUGUUCAGAACUUGUCUAAACCUUAUCAUCUAGAGGAAGGUGAAGUCGUAACA